rnacentral:rRNA from 1 species
UACGUAGGGAGCAAGCGUUGUCCGGAAUCAUUGGGCGUAAAGCGCGCGUAGGUGGCUUCAUAAGUCCGUUGUGAAAGUCAAAGGCUCAACCUUUGAAAGCCGAUGGAUACUGUGGAGCUAGAGUACGGAAGAGGCGAGUGGAAUUCCUGGUGUAGCGGUGGAAAUGCGCAGAUAUCAGGAGGAACACCAAUAGCGAAGGCAGCUCGCUGGGGACGUUACUGACACUGAGGCGCGAAAGCGUGGGGAGCGAACAGG